UACAGAGGGGGCAAGCGUUGUUCGGAAUUACUGGGCGUAAAGGGCGCGUAGGCGGCCUGCUAAGUCGAACGUGAAAUCCCUGGGCUCAACCCAGGAACUGCGUCCGAUACUGGUUGGCUUGAAUCCGGGAGAGGGAUGUGGAAUUCCAGGUGUAGCGGUGAAAUGCGUAGAUAUCUGGAGGGACACCGGUGGCGAAGGCGACAUCCUGGACCGGCAUUGACGCUGAGGCGCGAAAGCCAGGGGAGCAAACGGG
rnacentral:rRNA from 1 species